CCAACACUCAGAGCUGGAGAUGUUCUUCCUCAGCAGGUCAAGGUCCUUUCCUGGCUCAUAGAGACAUUCUGGACACCCCCAGGAGUCAUCCCCAACUGCUGUACACUGCAGUGGUCUAGAAGGAGAGGAGAGAUCAGUUUCAAGAUCUCUCCAUUCAGAGCUGAAGGGGCAGAACAGGACGUUCUCUUCCCCCUGACACCCAGAGGUGAACGUAAAAGGGCACUGGGUAACACUGGGACCACUGCUGUGAAUUUGAAUUGAACUGAAUUUUAAGCUUCAUCUCAGCCCCAGAGAACUGGAGCAAAAUCCUUCUGGACAAGGGAAAGACCCAAGGGAAAAUUUUCAAUGUUUCAUCUGAAAGAAAAAAGGAGCAAUGAAUUUGAAAACACCACAGCAACAUCUCCCAGAAAAGGGAAAGCUGGGUUGACCCUGCCAUGCAGAUGAAGAGCAAAACCCAGAACACCUGGAGGACCAAGUUGAAAUUUCAUCAGUGCUGGACAUCAGGUGACAUGGUGUCAUGCUUUUAAUGCUCCUAUUCCUACUUGAUAACUUUCCUUCAGCUGGAGAAAACAAAGGGGAAGUAAAAUGCAGAACAGGCAGAAAAGCCAGACUCCAGGACAUGAGCCAUCUCACUGUCCUCAGCAGCAAACUGAGAUGAAAGACAGAAAACUUCCUAUUUCCAGUUUCAAAGAAAAGGCUUUGAAAUGCAACCCAAAAAGCUGAGUUGGAAACUGGACUUUCUACCUUAUCCAGUAAAUUCCACUGACUAUUGGUG